CAGGUGGGAACUCAGUACAGCCUCCCACAACAAUAGCCCCAACUUCUGGACCCUAAUUGUAACCCAAUUGACUGUAAGGUUAUCCAAGAAACAUUAAACCAUGAGGAUUUUCUCAAUUGAACUAAAUUAAUUGCAAUUGGUGGUGAUUAUUGCUCACACAUGAUCCUAAUUUUUCCUUGUGGUAGGCAGGAAAUUUAGUUGGAAUACCCAGGGUGUAAAUUGGGUAAACAGAGACCUUAUUGAUUUAAUACAGUGCUCAUAGACCCAAUUUGAAUUGGGAAAUGGACUCUUAAGGUGGAGGGAAUCUAUUUGAAGUGGGUGUGAUGUAAUACAUCUAUUGGGAACUACUCGGCACAGUUCUGCAAAGAGAGGCAAGGUUGUUCGGUUGAAAAAGGCCUAUUCUGCUAGGGGAACUGGCCAGCCGGUAUAUGUCUAAGUAGCCUGCAUUAAGUCUCUUAUUAGGUUUUCAAAAUGAUUCAAAAUAUAUUUUUUGUUUUUCUCUUGGAUUGCAGUGAGUGUGAUAUUAAUGUUAUCAUAGGCAUGGAAGAGAGUGACAUGUUCCAGGUAGUCAAAUUUAGUUUAUUUGCUUCACUCUCUAACACUGGCUGUUUGUGUCUACCUUUAGUAGUUUGGAUACUAAAAGUUAGCGAAGGGGGAGUAGGAAAUAUGACUGUUGAUAGGAAAGUUUGAGAAGUAGAUUUGAUGAUAGAAAUUUUUUACCCAUUUAGAUCAUAACAUAGUUUACUACCCAAUCUGACCAAGUUCUUUGGGGAUGAUUCCGUACUACAGUUUGGUGGAAGAAGUUGAGGACAUCCUUAGGGAAAUGCACCGGGUUCUGUAGCUAAUCGAGUAGCCCUAGAAGCGUGUGUACAAGCUGAUAAUGAUGGAUACGAUCUCGCUCACGAAGGAUUGGUCAGGGGGUUACUAAGCAACUGUACUAAGGCACCCUCUUUAUCUAUGACGAAAACCAACUGGAGAAUAGUUAUUGCUUCUGUAUUAAUUUUCAAAAUUCUUUGAGAAAUUGAAGCAUUUGAAGCAUGAUUCAUUGUAUGUUAAACAAGAGAUUUGGUGUGGGUUUAAUAAUCUCAGUUCCUAUUCUGAAACUUUUAUUUUUGGGUUUUGUAGGAUGAUGGACCAGCCCCUAAGCUUCCAGGAUUCCAUGUCAUCUCUUAAAGCAAGUCCAUCAUCCCCAAAAUCUUCUCCCCCAUAAAACUUUGGGUAGUAAUGGGCAACUCUCACGAUUGUAUGUCUCUGAGUUUUCCAUGUCUAUAUUCAAAAUGCAUGGUCCUAAAGGCUUAAGUUGUUUCACUUCUAAUUUCAUUGCUCAAAUGUAGCCAACACCAAUUUCCAAGAAGAUAGAGAUGGAACAUUCUCCAUUGGGCAACCUGUGAGAAUCAGAGUUAGUCCUUUAAAGGAUUACUUAUGUCUGGUCAUUGCCAUGUUUUUUUCUAUUAUUAUUAUUAAGCUCGGUCUUCUACUGAAGAUUGCUUUAAAGGGUUACUUAUAUCAUGUAUGGGUAGGUUAAGUUUAUUUUUAAUAAUUUUCUUGAUGAUUCUUUAUUUCAAUGUGAUCAUCUUUCUGAGGUUCGUGUGAAGACUUGGAGUGUGUUUUAGGGAUCUUGCUUCCAAUGCACAUAUUUAAAAUCAAAUUUGGUCGAUAGGUAUGGACAUUUUCUUCAUGAUUCUGUAGUUAAAUGUGAGCAUCAAUAACCAUUUGUUUUUUCUACAAUGAUGAUGUAUGCUUAAAGUCUUGGAAAUGGCCCCAAACUACCCCUAUCCAUAGGCUUAAUUUGAGUAAUAAGAUGAGGGACAUAACCCACAAGGGAUAGGGUACUAACCAACCAAAAUAGGGGCUUAUUGGGCUCAAAAUGCCCUAACCGGUGGGAGAGAAUUUGCCGAAACUGUUGCACUCUCAGAGGCUGUUUUGUGAUUUCCUUGCGUUGGGCUACCCAUGGCCGAUGGGGAAGGUUCCCUAAGGCCUCUAGGGUCCUUUUACAGCCCCCAAAACUCCCAAUUAUAUGAAUUAAAAUUCUGCCCUGUGGAAUUCCUUAAUUUUCUUCCUUGGGAUGGCAAUUUCAACCCUCGAAGCAUGUUUCCGGACCUGUGGAGCUCAAUCCCAAUUUAUGGAUGGCUGCAGGGGCUUGUUAUAGUUCUAUGUACUUUCGAGAAUAUAUGGACAACAAGAAUUAAUCAUCAAUUUAACAUGUACAAUAGGAAUCAACCCAAGAUACCAGCCAAAUUCAUAUGUAUGCAGUCCAGGGUUCCUUCUUUGGGUGGCUGCAUGCUUAAGACUUGGUUGAAAUACCAUUUACAUGAGUAUAACCGACAGUACAGCAGUGUAGAGAGAUGAAGUUUACCUCUCUAAACAGGUACAUCAGCAGGUCAACAUGUCUAGUAGGAUUUCAAUAGGAUUUCAGCUUGGAUAGCACCUUGCACCUCUCAUCUUGGCUUGUAUGCACCCUUUUCUACAGCAGCAGCAUCAUCAUCUCAAUACCACAAGUAAGAGGGCACAACAUAAGCAGCAGGAAGCAUAUAGCUACAGACCCAAGAUAAUAUAUGAAUAGUCGCCCUUCUCUCCUUCUGUUCUUUUUCUUCUUCUUCUUCCCUUUUCUUUUUUUCUUCUCCGCUUCCUCCUGUUCUCGGCAGUAAGGGAGAGGCAUUAGCCGACCUCCCUACCCCCCCUUUUCUUAAGCCAAAACAGACCCUGAGGUCUGUUUGGUUUUGCUUUUUAAGAAAAACUAACUUAUUUUUUUUUAUAAUUAUUUAAAGUCACAUAACUAAUUGUAGGCUCAUUGGUUCCAUUUUAACUCAUUUGUUGUCCUAACUUUUGGGGUCUUUAGUCCACCCAAUGUAGGACUAGUCCCACUCAUAUUUGGCCAUUUUAUGCUUCUUCCUUGGCUAAUUAAUUAGCCAAAUUCUCUCUUUCUGCUACACAAAUGGAUCCACCACAGCAAGGUAGCCUAUUUCCUAUGCCAGCUAGGUCUUGACACUGAGCUUAGCUGCUUCCAGUUUAGGGUUUUACACUCUGUCUGCCUCCUCAAAUUUGAGGGGGCCUUUAUUUGAGAAGAGUCAAUGAUAACAUCAAAGCUGCCAGCCUCAAGCUCAUAUGGAAAAUUGCCUCCUAGCACAAUAGUGUCUGGGUCAACUUGAUAUACUCCUCUCUCCUUAAAAAGGACUCCAUUUCGUGGUCUCUCCUACAUCUGAUGCUUCUUGGGUCUGGAAAAGCAUCCUUAACCUUAGACCACGUGCCCUCAACGCCAUAUCCUCCUCCAUCAGUAAUGAGUCUUCCACCUACCUCUGGUUGGACAAUUGGCAUCCUGCUGGGGUCCUCCUCUCCAUCAUCAGUGCCCACACUUUGUACUCCUCUGGCAUUCCUUUAAAUGCCAUGGUCGACUCCAUCAUUUUAAAUGAUGCUUGGUCCACUCUCCCCUCCCCAUCCCAAGCUAAUAUCUGGGCUAUCCUCCUGCUCCUCAAUAGUGUACGAGAGGACAGGAUUUCCUAGAGCCCUUCUGCCAAUGGCUGCUUCUUCUCUACCUCCGCCUGGAACCUUAUUUGUACCAUUGCCUCAAGAGUCCCUUGGCACAACGUUACUUGGUUCAAAGGUCACAUUCCCAUCAUAAAGCGGAGGUUAACAUAGAUGCUCUUAUGCUGAUGGGGGUAAAUUAUGUUUAAGCUCAGCCUUUUGUAGAUUUUUCUUGUUUUUGCUUGGAAUGCACAUUUGAACUGUACUUUGUUUUUUUUUCCAAUAAAUUUAUAUAUAUAUAUAUAUAUAAUAUUAUUAUUGCAUAUGCAUUGUGAGUUAAUGAUUCUGUAGAUUUUUAGUUAUGUUCAGCGUGGUGAUUUGCAAGACUGUUUGAGUAAUAAAAAAGAAAAAAGAGCAACCCAGUGCACAAGGCUCCUGCUAUUGUAUGCUCUCGGAGGGCCAAAUGUACGCACCUUUACCACCUGCUUCACUAGAGAGUCUAUUUUGAAGUUUCUAACCUAUGACCAACAUGUGCUGGUACUAAAGUUUUUAUUUCUUACUUUUCAAACCCAUUGAAAUUUGAAUCUGAAUCUAAAAUGAUAAUCACGUGCUUUAAAAGAGAGAUUUUACAACAUAAGUUUUUCUCUCAUGUUCCUAUGAAGUUUGCACUAACUAGAAUUUUUAAGUUGAUUGUUUUUCUUUCAAUGCUUCCUCAUCGCAUUGUGUUCAACUGUCAUGGAAAAAUUUUCAUCUGGAGUUGAUUUACAACCCUUCUUUUAUUUGGGCUGCUCUAGUUAGUGUUCAGCGAGAAUGCUCGAGGAAAAUGUGAGUCUUCCCCUUUAUCAUUUUCUUGUUAUUUUAUUCUUUAUGGAAUCCAGAUAAGGCGUUACUCACUAUCAAUUUUCUCCAGCACAAUUCAUGCCACAAGGAUCCAAUGAUCGAGGUCUUUCAUUGAGGAGCCUUUGUUCUUUGCUAUUGGAAUCGUUGGUAUCAAGUUUGAAGGACAACAAUAGUUAUGCAAGGAUGAUGACUCUAAAUCUUGACGAGUUUGAAAGCCAUAAUUGUAACACCCUAAAUUUAAAAACUCCUCAGAUUUAAUGAUAGAAUUUAAUUGAGAAAAGUAAAGGAGGAAUGAGAAGUAGAAACUCAAGGUAAGCAACUGCACAAGUAAGCAUAGUUGUUUGGAUAAGAAAGUAGAUAAGGGAGAAGGAUAGGGAAGGUGAGAGAGUAGUCUAUCGGUGUCAAGAAGAGUCUUACAUAAGGUGGACUGCUCUGGGCAGAAGGUAGGAUAACAGGGCAGCCAGCAGAAGCAAACCGAUGGGAUAGCCUCUGGCUAACCGGCCAACCUGGUUGCAGUGGCAGAAUGCCAAGAAAUUGCAUUUUUCCUUUGUGGGACCCACUAUUUUGUAGGGUAAUUCUACCCAUUCUUAACAUGGAUUGGGGCAUGAUUAAGGGGGUCAUAAUGCAAUUAGUUUCAUGUUAAACCCUAAUUUCUAUAGUGAGUUAUUUAAGUUUAAUUACUUAGGAAAAAUGGGUUUUAUCAACAAAAAUACUUUGUCAAACAGACCCUUGGCUAUAUAAAAGGGGAGGUUGCUUACUGUUUCCUUUCCUUUACUAUCUCAUAUGAGGGAAAACAGAGAGGAGAGAAAAGAAAGGAAAGGAGGAGAGAAGGAAGAAGAAGAAGAAGGAAGGAGGAGAGAGGAAGUGUUGUUGUUCCUCUCUACUGCACUCUUUACUACUACUGCUGCUUCUCUCUACUGUUGUUGCUACUGCUGCUGCUGCUGUAACUGCACUCUCAAAUACUACCAGUGGUGGAAGGAUGUUUCCAGAAGGUGCUCCACAGCUGGAGAAAGGAAUCCGGAGCCUCAUAGCUACAUGUGGAUUGCUUAUACACUCCCAAGAACUUCUAAAGAGUACUGCUUCCAAGUGCUAUAUGCCACUUUCGAGAAAACCAUUGACUUCCCUAACCAUUGGCUUGUUCAAACCAUUAAGAAUCUCUAUAGGCAACCGAAAUGCACAUGAGCUCAGAAGUGAGGGAAACAAUACAUUUAAGUAUAGGGUGUCGAACGGAAACAAGAAUCGUGGGCACCUUAACCGAAUGGUGCCAUAUUUGGACAUAAUGGUUGUGAGAUUUUGAUGGCUGAAUGGAGUGCAAGGAGGAAUAGCCAAGAUACCUUGCCUUCUACAACAAUUAAGGAAUUAGUGUAGAAGAUGAAGUUCUCUCUCAUCCCUUUCAGGUAAUGAGUGGUAGUUCCUUCUUAUCCCGCAGCACUUUUAAUAUUUAGAACUCUGGUAAUGCUCUAUUUGCUUGUAAUUUAGAA